rnacentral:tRNA from 1 species
GACCUGCUGGCCGGCCUGCUGGGCGCGGUGCUGGUGCUGCCGCAGGGCGUAGCGUUCGCGACGCUGGCCGGGCU